GGACAUACCUGAUACUGAAGUCAGGAAUGUUCUCCUUGAGAUUAAGAAUGCUAGAACAUUGGAAGAACUCAUGGAACUCGCAGAUAAGCACUCCAGCAUGCUUCAAACAGCAGGAUGCUAUCGAUGCCUGAGGACACUGGAGGAUAAGGAAAAAGUUGUGGAUGGUUACAUCCAGUGGUACUUCACCUACCGUAACCAUGUUUCCUUCCAGAGGUUCAAGGAUGGCCUGGCUACCC